UAAGAGAUAUCUCAAUGGGUAGGGUGCCUGCCUUGCCAUGCAGUCAGCCCAGGUUCAAAUCCUGGCACCUAA
rnacentral:tRNA from 1 species